GGCUGAGGCAUGAGAAUUGCUUGGACCCAGGGGGGCAGAGAUUGCAGUGAGCUGAGAUCGUGCCACUGCACUCCAGCCUGGGUGACAGAGUAAGGCUGUGUCUUAAAAAAAAAAACAAACCUAAAUUAGAACUUAAUCACCUCUGUAGAUUCACUUGUUUGAGCAGCCAUGGGGUCCGAUGUCUUUACUGUACAAUAUAAAAACUGCUUUGAAGUGUUUCCACAACACUCAUGAGACCUGUUCACAAAUGCCUUUGCCCCCACGAGUCUGGAUGUCCCUGGGGGCUGGGCUACUAUUUCUGUUUUGCAGUAAUGGUAUUUGGAGUAUAAGCGGGGAGAAGGCCAUUUAAGAUGACCUUCAGGUCAAGGCACUUUCCAUGUCUUUCUUCACUUAACCUUAUUGCUUGGUCAUAUGGAGUUAUGUUUAGCAUGAACUUCUUUUGGAUUCUUCCAUUAACCUUUAUUUAUUUAUUUUUAGAGGCAAAGUCUCACUAUGUUGCCCAGGCUGGUCCUUGAACUUCUGAGCUCAAGUGAUCCUCCCACCUCAGCCUCCCAAAGCCCUGGGUUACAGGCAUGAGCCACCAUCUCUGGCCCUUCCUUUAAGCUUUUAACAAGUUCUUGUAAACUUUAUUCAUGGUAAAAAAAAAAAAAAAAAAAAACAAAAAAAAACAAAAACAGAGACAACUCAUAUGCCCCCAAACAGGAAGUGGAAUCAUAAACUCCAUGCAGGCUGGGCACGGUGGC
rnacentral:lncRNA from 1 species